rnacentral:rRNA from 1 species
UACGUAGGGCGCAAGCGUUAUCCGGAAUUAUUGGGCGUAAAGAGCUCGUAGGCGGUUUGUCGCGUCUGCCGUGAAAGUCCGGGGCUCAACUCCGGAUCUGCGGUGGGUACGGGCAGACUAGAGUGUGGUAGGGGAGACUGGAAUUCCUGGUGUAGCGGUGAAAUGCGCAGAUAUCAGGAGGAACACCGGUGGCGAAGGCGGGAUCCUGGGCCAGUACUGACGCUGAGGAGCGAAAGCGUGGGGAGCAAACAGG